UGCCAGACUCCUACGGGAGGCAGCAGUGGGGGAUAUUGCACAAUGGGGGAAACCCUGAUGCAGCGACGCCGCGUGGGUGAAGGAGCGUUUCGGCGCGUAAAGCCCUAUCGGCAGGGAAGAAGGAGGACGGUACCUGACUAAGAAGCCCCGGCUAACUACGUGCCAGCAGCCGCGGUAAUACGUAGGGGGCAAGCGUUAUCCGGAUUUACUGGGUGUAAAGGGGGCGCAGACGGCGAUGCAAGCCAGGAGUGAAAGCCCGGGGCCCAACCCCGGGACUGCUCUUGGAACUGCGUGGCUAGAGUGCAGGAGGGGCAGGCGGAAUUCCUGGUGUAGCGGUGAAAUGCGUAGAUAUCAGGAGGAACACCGGUGGCGAAGGCGGCCUGCUGGACUGCAACUGACGUUGAGGCCCGAAAGCGUGGGGAGCAAACAGGAUUAGAUACCCCAGUACG
rnacentral:rRNA from 1 species